GGAGACGCAGCAGCUGAAGAGGGACCAGCAGGGGAGAGGAGCUGAGCUGGAAGUGUUCUGAGCCAUCCUCCAGCUCAGCUCCUCUCCCCUGCUGGUUCCUUCUUCAGCUGCUGCGUCUCU